AGUGCGCAAGCACUCGCUGUCGGAUGAGCCCAUGACCGAUUAGCUAGUUGGUAAGGUAAAAGCUUACCAAGGCAACGAUCGGUAGCUGGUCUGAGAGGAUGAUCAGCCACACUGGGACUGAGACACGGCCCAGACUCCUACGGGAGGCAGCAGUGGGGAAUAUUGGACAAUGGGCGCAAGCCUGAUCCAGCAAUGCCGCGUGUGUGAAGAAGGCCUGCGGGUUGUAAAGCACUUUAGGUUGGGAAGAAAGCCUAUGGAAGACAAAGCCAUAGGGAUGACGUUACCAACAGACUCUGAAUAAGCACCGGCUAACUCUGUGCCAGCAGCCGCGGUAAUACAGAGGGUGCGAGCGUUAAUCGGAAUUACUGGGCGUAAAGGGUGCGUAGGCGGCUAAAUAAGUCAGAUGUGAAAGCCCUGGGCU
rnacentral:rRNA from 1 species